AAACUCGAAGAGAUCUGCUGCCUGCCUGUGUCUUCUGGGUGCUGGGAUGAAAGGCAUGCAGCACAACUGCCCAGCUCAAUGAAGACUUCAGUGGCAUCAAUCCCACCAGGUAGACAAAUCCAACACUAGGAGAACCCACCACUAAACUAAGUGCAACAGAACUUCUGGUGGUCUUUAUAGGAGUAAUCCCAAUGAAAUAAAAAUUCUCACUGGGAGACAGAGAGGGCAGUGCAUGCCUGAAAUCCAGCACUUAAAAGGGGCCGGAGGAUAAAAAUCCCAAAUAAGACGUCUGGUCUACAUAAGAAGUUAUAGACCAGCCUAUAGAGACCCUGUUUCAAAAAUAAAAAACCCAAACC
rnacentral:lncRNA from 1 species